rnacentral:tRNA from 1 species
GGGUCGUUAGCUCAGUUGGUAGAGCAUCGGACUUUUAAUCCGCUGGUCGCAGGUUCGAAUCCUGCACGACCCA